CAUACGGCCCAGUAACACGUGGCUAACCUACCCUCGAGACUGAGACCCCCCCGGGAAACUGGGGCUAAUCCCAGAUAGGUAAAAACUCCUGGAAUGGGUCUUCGCCCAAAAGGUGUUGGAAUCAUGCUUUUCAGCAUCGCUCGAGGAUGGAGCCGCGGCCGAUCAGGUAGUUGGUGUGGUAACGGCUCACCAAGCCUUUAACCGGUACGGGCCGUGGGAGCGGGAGCCCGGAGAUGGGAACUGAGACAAGGUCCCAGGCCCUACGGGGCGCAUCAGUCGCGAAAACUCCGCAAUGCACGAAAGUGUGACGGGGCUACCCCGAGUGCCGUCCGCUGAGGAUGGCUUUUCUCUGCUGUAAGGAAGCGGAAGAAUAAGGAGUAGGGCAAGUCUGGUGUCAGCCGCCACGGUAAUACCAGCUCUCCGAGUGGUAAGGAUGAUUAUUGGGACUACUGCGUCUGUAUCCCGCUUUUAUAUUUAUAUCCUUAAAUCCAUCGAUUCA
rnacentral:rRNA from 1 species